rnacentral:tRNA from 1 species
GGACUCGUAGCUUAACUGGAUAGAGCAUCUGACUACGAAUCAGAAGGUUGGGGGUUCGACUCCCUUCGGGUCCA